UGGGUUGUAUCUGAGUGGUAAAACACAUGCUUAGCAUGUGUGAGGCCCUGGGUUCAAUUCCCAGCACUACAA
rnacentral:tRNA from 1 species